AUUGAACGCUGGCGGCGUGCUUAACACAUGCAAGUCGAGCGGUAACAGGCGUAGCAAUACGCGCUGACGAGCGGCGAACGGGUGCGUAAUACAUGGGAAUCUGCCCUUUGGUGGGGAAUAACCCGGCGAAAGCCGGGCUAAUGCCGCAUAAGAUCUUCGGAUGAAAGCGGGGGACCGUAAGGCCUCGCGCCGAUGGAUGAGCCCAUGUCGGAUUAGCUGGUUGGUGAGGGAACGGCUCACCAAGGCGACGAUCCGUAGCUGGUCUGAGAGGACGGCCAGCCACACUGGGACUGAGACACGGCCCAGACUCCUACGGGAGGCAGCAGUGGGGAAUAUUGGACAAUGGGGGAAACCCUGAUCCAGCGACGCCGCGUGUGUGAAGAAGGCCUGCGGGUUGUAAAGCACUUUCGAUGGGAACGAAAUGUGCCGGGCUAAUACCCCGGCAAGCUGACGUUACUCAAUGAAGAAGCACCGGCUAACUCUGUGCCAGCAGCCGCCGUAAUAC
rnacentral:rRNA from 1 species